AGCUCAUCCCCCGGGGCCGCAGAGGCAGGCCAGGCACUGGGGUUCCAGGGACACCUCCGCCCCCUCCACUUUGAGACUGUGAGUACCACCCACCUGGCCCGGGGAGGGGACCUCAGCAGCCCUGAGAAACCUGUGAGGGGCUGGCGACUGUCAGGGCAGCCUGCCGUGGUGAGGGUCUUGGGGGCUGUCGUCAGAGUUUUCACUGUUUCUCAGAGCUGUAUUCUGUGACCCGUUUCUCACUGCCUGGAAUGCACACAGGCUCGCCCUGGGCCCAGGAACACCAGGUGUUUCCCCACAGCCGCAAGGGGAAGUUCUUUAGCUCCCCUGCGCGUUAGACCAGCCCCAGGCCCCAUUAGGGUUGAGAACCAGGGCCCCGCAGCCCACCUGGAUGGCAGGGAGUGUUGGGUCGCUGCCUACGGCCCUCACAACCACCCUGAGAAAGAUGGACUCUUGACAAUGCCCAGUUUACAGCCGAGUAAACUGAGGCCCUCAGAAGUCACACAGAAGUCAGAAGUCCUCAGAGGCCCUCAGAAGUCACACAGUGGCCCAGGGCUCCUGGAGCAUAUUUGGUGUGUUUCCUUCCCACACUGCUGCCCCCCUCAACCCUAUGGUGCAUAAACUUUGAGCAAAUGGAGGUUUAUGGCUGAGGGAACACAAGGCUUCCCCAGGCUGUGUUGAGGAGACACUGCCUUGCAGAAGUCUUCCCUGCCCCAGGCUCGCUGGGGCCAUUUCCCAUCUGGCAGUAGCCCAGUAUGUGUCCCCCCAGGAGCCCCUUGACCCACUGACAAGUUCAGUAUCUUUCUGAAAUGAUCCAGAGUGGAACCUUGAGGAUCUGUAGAUCCCUGGGGCUGGGAGCGUGUUGGGGGAUGUUCCCUGGGUUCUGAGCUGUAACCCCUGAGCCUGACCUCUUGGGGUCCUUGGGCCAACAGCCCCUGGCUCACUGGGGUCAUCAGGGAGUUCAACAGAUGGGUCAGAGGAAGCUUUUACCGACCCAGCCUCAGGGAGCAGCCUGGGAGCUCUCACUCCCAGCCAAGCCUCCCCCACCCCAGCCCUGGCUCUUGGGGGCAGGCAAGACAGAUAGCCCUUUCCUUAGGACUGGAGCCCAACCAGUGGCAGAUGGAAAAAAGGAUGAGCCACAGGUUCUGAUCAGGUGCUGGAACAAACCACCCUUCUUAAGUGAGUCCCCCACGAACUUAGAAUUUGAGACUCACUCAUUGGCCAGGCUCAAUGGCCUCUGUUCUGCUAUCAAGAGGCUGCUGGGAUGUUACCCAUGGCAGGGAUAGAUGGGGAAGUCACCAUAUUCAAAACAAUCAUGUGUUGAAACACCUCCCCAGCUUCUGAUCUACCGGUAGUGGCAGCGGAAGCAAAUACAGCAAAUCUGAAACCCGAUGCCUACAGAACAGGGGUGUGAAAUGUGACGCCAGAGGCCCCCACACAGAAGUGGGUGUGGACAGCCACCUGCCUGUGAGCAACCAGGGGAAGCUAGCUUGGUGCCGAG
rnacentral:lncRNA from 1 species